rnacentral:lncRNA from 1 species
GACACACCCAGCGGCAGCCGUUGACUCCCUCCACCCUUGCUUCCCUCUCAACCAUCUCACCUCCAUCUGUCCAGUGGAGCCAGAUGUCCCACCUUCUUGGGAGAAAUUAAUUGAGGCUCAUUUCCAGGACAGAGGGGCAAGCUGGGUCUGAGGAGCCAAGCAGAAAAACUUCCCAAAAUCACUGGGUGGGGAGGGGUCAGAGACUUACUGCUGCCCCAGCUGUUCUGACUCUGCCCCCAGCUUUUGGCCCCACCCUUUUAAAGCACCUUCAGAGGUUCCCAAUGGUGACAGUAAACAAGUCUCCACUGUCCUGGCCAUCUCUGCUGUGUUCACCCUACUCCUGAUCUUUCUGGCUGCUCAGGGACUGACAGCCAAGAUGUGAGGCUGUGAUGAGCAGGAACAGGGAGGCCUGGAGCCCCCAGCCAUUGUCAUCACUUCCCUGAUCUGCCUAAAUUCUGCCCAGCAGUCCGUGAAAAUGGUUUGCUGAUGACAUAUGUAAGGACUUUAACUCCCCUCAAGCAAUCUGCUCAUCUCAAAGGACAGAUUUGCAAUGAUCAAGAGGCGUCCUGUGAAUGCAGUUUGCAAAGGACUUAGGCACACAGCAUCUCCUUUGUUCUCACCACAAGGCUGCCGGGUGUGCAGAUGUGAGGAUUAUUUCAAUGGUGAAGAAGCAUCCUGAGAGGUUACGUAGUUCAACUAAUGUCACACCAAGAGCAGGAGAGCAUCUGGGCAUUUGGACAUGGAAGGUGUGGGGCACAAGCAUCUCAUGGCCAGGGAACGGGGGAGGAGCAUCUCAGAGCUGCAUCAGAGUUCAUGCUGGUCCUAGGACAAGAGUCAAGCACACCCUGCUUUCACCAGCUGCUGGUAGCUUUCACUCAGGUUCCCACUUUGGCCACUUAAUUCUCUGAACCUCUACUACAUGAAGAGACUAGAACUUGAUUAGAAAAAAAUGGAAUGACUCUUAAUGAGCAAGUGGAUGAAUAAAUUGUGGUAAAUCCCUACAA